GACGAACGCUGGCGGCGUGCUUAACACAUGCAAGUCGAACGGAAAGGCCCUGCUUUUGUGGGGUGCUCGAGUGGCGAACGGGUGAGUAACACGUGAGUAACCUGCCCUUGACUUUGGGAUAACUUCAGGAAACUGGGGCUAAUACCGGAUAGGAGCUCCUGCUGCAUGGGGGGGGUUGGAAAGUUUCGGCGGUUGGGGAUGGACUCGCGGCUUAUCAGCUUGUUGGUGGGGUAGUGGCUUACCAAGGCUUUGACGGGUAGCCGGCCUGAGAGGGUGACCGGCCACAUUGGGACUGAGAUACGGCCCAGACUCCUACGGGAGGCAGCAGUGGGGAAUAUUGCACAAUGGGCGGAAGCCUGAUGCAGCAACGCCGCGUGCGGGAUGACGGCCUUCGUGUUGUAAACCGCUUUCGCCUGUGACGAAGCGUGAGUGACGGUAAUGGGUAAAGAAGCACCGGCUAACUACGUG
rnacentral:rRNA from 1 species